rnacentral:rRNA from 1 species
CCUACGGGAGGCAGCAGUGGGGAAUAUUGCACAAUGGGGGGAACCCUGAUGCAGCGACGCCGCGUGGGUGAAGAAGCGCCUCGGCGCGUAAAGCCCUGUCAGCAGGGAAGAAAAUGACGGUACCUGAAGAAGAAGCCCCGGCUAACUACGUGCCAGCAGCCGCGGUAAUACGUAGGGGGCAAGCGUUAUCCGGAUUUACUGGGGGUAAAGGGGGCGCAGCCGGCGAUGCAAGCCAGGAGUGAAAGUGCGGGGCCCAACCCCGGGACUGCUCUUGGAACUGCGUGGCUGGAGUGCAGGAGGGGCAGGCGGAAUUCCUGGUGUAGCGGUGAAAUGCGUAGAUAUCAGGAGGAACACCGGUGGCGAAGGCGGCCUGGUGGACUGCAACUGACGUUGAGGCCCGAAAGCGUGGGGAGCAAACAGGAUUAGAUACCCCAGUAGUC